GUAAAUAUAGUUUAACAAAAACACUAGAUUGUGAAUCUAGAAACAGAAACUUAAUAUUUCUUAUUUACC
rnacentral:tRNA from 6 species